AAGGAUUUAAGUUAAAAAAACUAAUAACCUUCAAAGUUAUAAAUAAAGAAAUAAGCUUUAAGCCUUA
rnacentral:tRNA from 1 species